rnacentral:rRNA from 1 species
GAGGGAAGAAGGUCUUCGGAUUGUAAACCUCUGUCGAGUGGGAAGAAAGAAAUGACAGUACCACUGGAGGAGCCCCGGCUAACUACGUGCCAGCAGCCGCGGUAAUACGUAGGGGGCUAGCGUUGUCCGGAAUUACUGGGCGUAAAGGGCGUGUAGGCGGUAGAGCAAGUCAGGUGUGAAACCCCCGGGCUCAACUCGGGGCAUGCAUCUGAAACUGCGAUACUUGAGUGCAGGAGAGGGAAGCGGAAUUUCUGGUGUAGCGGUGGAAUGCGUAGAUAUCAGGAAGAACACCGGUGGCGAAGGCGGCUUUCUGGCCUGCAACUGACGCUGAGGCGCGAAAGCGUGGGGAGCGAACAGGAUUAGAUACCCUGGUAGUCCACGCUGUAAACGAUGGAUACUAGGUGUAGGUGGUAUCAAAGCCAUCUGUGCCGAAGUUAACACAUUAAGUAUCCCGCCUGGGGAGUACGGCCGCAAGGUUGAAACUCAAAGGAAUUGACGG